rnacentral:misc_RNA from 1 species
GAUGAAGAACGUAGCGAAAUGCGAUAAGUAAUGUGAAUUGCAGAAUUCAGUGAAUCAUCGAAUCUUUGAACGCACCUUGCGCCCUUUGGCUAUUCCGAAGGGCAUGCCUGUUUGAGUAUCAUGAACACCUCAACCCUCAUGGUUUGCCAUGAUGGGCUUGGACUUUGGGGGUCUUGCUGGAUUGUAGUCAGCUCCCCUUAAAUGAAUCAACUUGCCAGUGUUUGGUGGCAUCACAGGUGUGAUAAAUAUCUACGCUUGUGGUUUUACAUCAGAUAACCUUCAGUGAUGGAGGUUCACUGGAGCUCAUAAAGGUGUCUCUCCUCUGUGAGGACAGCUCUUUGAAUGUUUGAUCUCAAAUCAGGCAGGACUACCCGCUGAACUUAAGCAUAUCAAUAAGCGGAGGA